ACCGUGGUAAUUCUAGAGCUAAUACAUGCUUAAACGCCCGACUUUAUGGAAGGGUGGUAUUUAUUAGACUGAAGCCAAUAUUCCUUGUGUCUAUUGCGGUGAUUCAUAAUAACUGAUCGAAUCUCUUUUUGAGAUAAAUCAUUCAAGUUUCUGCCCUAUCAGCUUUCGAUGGUAGUGUAUUGGACUACCAUGGCAGUAACGGGUAACGAAGAAUUAGGGUUCGAUUUCGGAGAGGGAGCAUGAGAAACGGCUACCACAUCUAAGGAAGGCAGCAGGCGCGUAAAUUACCCAAUCCUGACUCAGGGAGGUAGUGACAAGAAAUAGCAAACCGGGAACCUCAUGGUUUCACGGUAUUGCAAUGAGAACAAUUUAAAACCCUUAGCGAGAAUCAAGUGGAGGACAAGUCUGGUGCCAGCACCCGCGGUAAUUCCAGCUCCACUAGCGUAUAUUAAAGUUGUUGCAGUUAAAAAGCUCGUAGUUGAACCUCUGUCUGGGGCUAGUUUUGGCUUUGGUCAGGCUAGUUCUAGGCAUCCGCCUACAAGACUUAGAGGGCAUUCAGUUGUUCACUAGGAGGAGUAGGCAUUUUACUUUGAAAAAAUUAGAGUGUUUAAGGCAGGCAAUCGCCCGCAUAUAUUAGCAUGGAAUAAUAGAAUAGGACACUUUUCCAUUUCGUUGGUUAUUGGAAUCGUGUAAUGAUUAAUAGGGACAGUUGUGGGCAUUUGUAUUUAAUUGUCAGAGGUGAAAUUCUUGGAUUUAUUAAAGACAAACUAACGCGAAAGCAUUUGCCAAGGAUGUUUUCAUUAAUCAAGAACGAAAGUUAGGGGAUCAAAGACGAUCAGAUACCGUCCUAGUCUUAACUAUAAACUAUUCCGACUCAAUGUUUGACUGGCUUAUAUAACCAGUUGAGCGUUGUAUGAGAAAUCAAAGUCUUUAGGUUCUGGGGGGAGUAUGGUUGCAAAGCUGAAACUUAAAGGAAUUGACGGAAGAGCACAACCAGGAGUGGAUUCUGCGGCUUAAUUUGACUCAACACGGGGAAACUUACCAGGUUAAAACAAUAGUGGGAUUGACAGUUUGAGAGCGCUUUCUUGAUUGGUUGGGUGGUGGUGCAUGGCCGUUCUUAGUUGGUGGAGUGAUUUGUCUGCUUAAUUGCGUUAACGAACGAGACCUUAACCUGCCUACUAGACUGGCGAUCAUCAAUCGUUAGCUCUUCUUAGAGGGACUUUGGUUGUUUUAACUCCAAGGAAGUUUGAGGCAAUAACAGGUCUGUGAUGCCCUUAGAUAUCCUGGGCCGCACGCGUCAUACAAUGACUA
rnacentral:rRNA from 1 species